UACGAAGGGGGGCUAGCGUUGCUCGGAUUUACUGGGCGUAAAGGGCGCGUAGGCGGAUAGUUAAGUUGGGGGUGAAAGCCCGGGGCUCAACCUCGGAAUUGCCUUCAAUACUGGCUAUCUUGAGUGUGAGAGAGGUGUGUGGAACUCCGAGUGUAGAGGUGAAAUUCGUAGAUAUUCGGAAGAACACCAGUGGCGAAGGCGACACACUGGCUCACUACUGACGCUGAGGCGCGAAAGCGUGGGGAGCAAACAGG
rnacentral:rRNA from 1 species